rnacentral:rRNA from 1 species
AACGAACGCUGGCGGCAUGCCUUACACAUGCAAGUCGAACGGCAGCACGGGAGCAAUCCUGGUGGCGAGUGGCGAACGGGUGAGUAAUAUAUCGGAACGUGCCCAGUCGUGGGGAUAACGUAGCGAAAGCUACGCUAAUACCGCAUACGAUCUAUGGAUGAAAGACGGGGGAGUCGCAAGACCUCGCGCGAUUGGAGCGGCCGAUAUCAGAUUAGGUAGUUGGUGAGGUAAAGGGACUCACCAAGCCGACGAUCUGUAGCUGGUCUGAGAGGACGACCAG